CUAUUUAACACACUAAAUAUGUAACGCCCCGUUUUUCUAAACCUAAUUUGUGAACCCUAAAUUAUUGGUUUUAAUGCUGUUAAUUUUGCGAAGUCCGUGAAUUAAUUGUCGGUAAAGUAAUUGGUGAAUUAAUUGUUGUUGGACUAGAAGUUAUGAAAUAAAAUAUUAUGCGAAUAUAAAUAAUUCCUUUCCGUGAGGAAUAUAUUUAUUGCGUACUGGAUCGAAUAAUUGGACAAAUAAUAUAAAGGUUCAGUCCGUGAUAAAUAAAUUAGGGAUUGCACAAAUUAAAAUAAAAUACAAUGGACCGUGAAUUAAACUAAAAUAAUUAAAGAUUCUCCUUGAUAUUAAUCCAAUUACUAACUAAAGAUCAUGUAGAUAUCUUCAUCCUCCGUAAUCUACAAAUAAAAUACCCAAUAAAUUCAAGCAAAUCAGAAAUCAAAAAAAAAAAAAGAAAAAAUCGAACCCCCCCCAACACACGAUUUUGCAACCGUCCCUCCCUCUCAUGAAUCUCUCCCCAAAUCUCUCCAACCUCUCAACCAAAUCUCCUACCCCUUUAUAAUACAGACUGCACUCUUCGUUUCCUCCCAUCUCUGCAGCAAAACAAGAACUUCUCUUUUAAUUUCCUACUCAAGGUAAUCUUACAAACUACAUCUCUGUUACACGUUUUUCUUUUCUAAAUCAAUUCAUUAAAUUCCUUCUGGCAGAAACCGGGAAUCAAGUUCAGAGGAGAAGGGACAGAAACCACAAUCUCUUUGGCUCAAACAAAUCUGCCAAUUGAAGGUAUACACCUCUCCCAUCCAAUUCCGAUUUCAUGCUGCUGCAUCAAUACCUCCUACACUACCGAUUAACUCAAUCUGAAAUCCAACCGAUAAAUUUCAUAGCAAACCAAGAAAAAGAUCAAACUUUUAAUCGAAAAUUUAGAACUUAACUUGCAGGGUGGUUCGGGUUGGUUUCGGGGCUGCGCGGUGUUGCUUCGGAGGUUGCCGAAGAGUGAGUGACGGUGGACGAAUUGGCCGCACCGUGAACCUCCUCCAGGCCAACGGACAGCAGCGACGGCGGAGGGUGCGAACGACGAAUCGGAGGGGGCGGCAGCAGCAGAUUUCCGUGACCUCCGGGUUCUGUUUUGGGAUCUUAUUAUGCUCCUUUCGGCGAGAGAAAUAGGGAGUGAGUUUUGAUGUGUCUCUGAAAUCUUCCUUUUGAGUGCUGAAACUUUUGGGUGUUCAAAGUAGAAGCAGAGAGAGAAGUCGAUGGUUUUGGGUGGAGGUUGAGCGGCGACGAGAGUACGGUGGUGUUGAGCAAGUCAAUUGGUAAAUGAACUGUUGUUUUUGAUUUAUGGGUGUCGUUGUGUCUUCACACAUGACGUCACUCUUACUCUUGGUCGUUUCCGCUGUGACAUUUCUUUCACUUAUCGGUUAUUAGGCUUGCAACCUAAAUUAUUUGGAUAUUGAAUAUUUGGGAUUUUACUGAUUUAUGUCAAAUUCUUGGUCGUUUUAUUUGAA